rnacentral:rRNA from 1 species
AUGAACGCUAGCUACAGGCUUAACACAUGCAAGUCGAGGGGCAGCAUGAACUUAGCUUGCUAAGUUUGAUGGCGACCGGCGCACGGGUGAGUAACACGUAUCCAACCUGCCGAUGACUCGGGGAUAGCCUUUCGAAAGAAAGAUUAAUACCCGAUGGCAUAGUUCUUCCGCAUGGUAGAACUAUUAAAGGAUUUCGGUCAUCGAUGGGGAUGCGUUCCAUUAGGUUGUUGGCGGGGUAACGGCCCACCAAGCCUUCGAUGGAUAGGGGUUCUGAGAGGAAGGUCCCCCACAUUGGAACUGAGACACGGUCCAAACUCCUACGGGAGGCAGCAGUGAGGAAUAUUGGUCAAUGGACGAGAGUCUGAACCAGCCAAGUAGCGUGAAGGAUGACUGCCCUAUGGGUUGUAAACUUCUUUUAUACGGGAAUAAAGUGAGGCACGUGUGCCUUUUUGUAUGUACCGUAUGAAUAAGGAUCGGCUAACUCCGUGCCAGCAGCCGCGGUAAUACGGAGGAUCCGAGCGUUAUCCGGAUUUAUUGGGUUUAAAGGGAGCGUAGGCGGACGCUUAAGUCAGUUGUGAAAGUUUGCGGCUCAACCGUAAAAUUGCAGUUGAUACUGGGUGUCUUGAGUACAGUAGAGGCAGGCGGAAUUCGUGGUGUAGCGGUGAAAUGCUUAGAUAUCACGAAGAACUCCGAUUGCGAAGGCAGCCUGCUGGACUGUAACUGACGCUGAUGCUCGAAAGUGUGGGUAUCAAACAGGAUUAGAUACCCUGGUAGUCCACACAGUAAACGAUGAAUACUCGCUGUUUGCGAUAUACAGUAAGCGGCCAAGCGAAAGCGUUAAGUAUUCCACCUGGGGAGUACGCCGGCAACGGUGAAACUCAAAGGAAUUGACGGGGGCCCGCACAAGCAGUGGAGUAUGUGGUUUAAUUCGAAGCAACGCGAAGAACCUUACCAAGUCUUGACAUCCUGCGACGCACAUAGAAAUAUGUGUUUCCUUCGGGACGCAGAGACAGGUGGUGCAUGGUUGUCGUCAGCUCGUGUCGUGAGAUGUUGGGUUAAGUCCCGCAACGAGCGCAACCCCUAAUAUUAGUUGCCAGCGAGUAAUGUCGGGAACUCUAAUAUGACUGCCGGUGAUAAAUCGGAGGAAGGUGGGGACGACGUCAAAUCAUCAUGCCCUUUAUGUCUUGGGCUACACACGUACUACAAUGGCUAUAACAAAGAGAAGCGAGACAGUGAUGUGGAGCAAAACUCAAAAAAAUAGUCUCAGUUCGGAUUGAAGGCUGAAAUUCGCCUUCAUGAAGCCGGAAUUGCUAGUAAUGGCAGGUCAGCAUACUGCCGUGAAUACGUUCCCGGGCCUUGUACACACCGCCCGUCACACCAUGAGAGUUGGGGAUACCCGAAGCCUGUGAGCCAACAGUUAAAUGAGGCAGCAGUCGAAGGUAGAAUCAAUGAUUGGGGUG